UCUGGAGGCUAACGUCUGAAAUGAAGGUGUUGGCAGAGCCAUACCCUCUUCUGGAGGAAGAGUCUUCCUUGCCUCUUCUAGCUCUUGCAUAUUUCCAGGAUGUUUCUCCUCCUGUGGAGACUCAUGAGACACCUAUUAGUCAGUCUGGAGCCUACAGAAUAUAAUAGAAGUUGGGAUGACAGCUGCAAAACAAACAAUAACC